CAGUCGCCACGGGAAAACGUAGGUGGCAAGCGUUGUCCGGAAUUAUUGGGCGUAAAGCGCGCGCAGGCGGCCUAUCCAGUCUGUCUUAAAAGUUCGGGGCUCAACCCCGUGAUGGGAUGGAAACUAGUAGGCUAGAGUAUCGGAGAGGAAAGCGGAAUUCCUAGUGUAGCGGUGAAAUGCGUAGAUAUUAGGAAGAACACCAGUGGCAAAGGCGGCUUUCUGGACGAAAACUGACGCUGAGGCGCGAAAGCCAGGGGAGCGAACGGGAUUAGAUACCCCAGUAGUCCCUGUCUCUUAUACA
rnacentral:rRNA from 1 species